CAGACAUGCAGGCCACAGCCGUCACUUUCCCUGUGCCUGAGCUGGAAGUCUUUGUGACUUAGUGGGUUCAACUCUGCUUCCCUCGGGUCCUCUGGGGGAUGCCUGCUUCGCCUUGAGGACACAGCUGUACUGCUAAGCACAGGGCUGGCGGUUCAUCAGUGAGGGACAGAGGCCUCCAGUGCCACUGAGGCUGUGACAGGGGAGAAGGAAGCCUGAGAAAGAAGGGGCCUGAUGGUUUCCCUGUCAAGUUCUUUUGAGGAAACAUACUCAGUAGUUUUUUCACCUCUUCCUCAGCAUUUCAUGUUUCACUAUGGAAAAACACAAGGCAGCGCAGAGAAUCUGCUUCAAUUCCUGCCUCUUGUCUUGGGCUUUCCAGACAGGUUCGGUUUUAUGAUUUUUGAUUCUUUUUGUCUUUUUAUUUUUUAUCGGUACCAGGGACCAAACUCAUGACCACACACUUGCAAGGCAGGCGCUUAUGCUGCUAAGCUAAAUCCCCAGCCCCCAUGAUUUUUGAUUUCGCUCAGAGCCUCAGAGUCUUUUUCCCUCUCAGCAAGGACCUUGAUUCUGGCUCCACGCACUUGUAGCAUACUCUGUACUUCAGCCCCGUAUCAUGGAAACUUAUGGAUAAGGGUUUGUUUUCCAGUGUCUAGUAUUUUCUUCAGAAAUGUGUCCCUACAAGUGACUCAGUCUUUGUCUUCUUUCUCAGCCUUAUAGGCUCUGGUAAGCUGGUCCUUGGCGGUGGUCUCCCUGAUCUCGAAGAAGGCUUUCUUCCGGAACACACCCUACUUGGAUGUCUUCUUUUUUUUUGGUCAUUUUUUUUUUUUUUUAUCGGUACCAGGGAUCGAACUCAUGACUGCCUGCUUACAAGGCAGGCGCUUAUGCCGCUGAGCUAAAUCCCCAGCCCCUUGGAUGUCUUCUUAAUGAGGCCUCAAGUUUACUUCAGCUGCAAUAGAUCUGCUUCUCUGAUUUUUACCCUGCAGCGGAUUUUCACAAAGGAUGCGGUAACGGCACACGGGCAGUCACAUCCCUCCAGUGCCUGCUUACUGUAUCUGGGUCCUGGGGCCGGGAAGAAGCAGCCUCAGGCUAAUGGGAGCCUUCUGCAGCGAGUUCUGCCCUCUCCGACCCAGUCCCUGGCCAGCAUUUCCUCGUUUCAUCCUUUCACGGCAUUUCUGUUGAACCGCGUACUGUUCUGCUGCAUUUUACAUUUGAAAAUAAGUGGUGUGUUUGACCAUCUUCUUGAAAAAAAAUUUUUUGGGGGCUGUUUGAGACAAGGUCUUGCUAUGUGGUUCAGACUGGCCUUGGGCUCACCUUGUAGCCCAGGCUGGUCUCAAACUCACAACAAUCCUCCUACCUCAGCCUCCCAAGUACUGGGAUUACAGUUGUGCGCCACCAUACCUGGCAUAUUUGAAUAUUUUAUAAAAAAUAAAAAAGAUGGGCUAGAGUCUGAGCAGUGGGCUGUAAGUCCAAACAGUCCUUAAAUAGAGAGGUUGUUUAAUGAAUGUGUCUGUAAUUAAUCUGGUGGAGAAAACUGUUUUUUAAACACUUCAAGUAUUUAUUGUUGACCCACGUGUGCUGAACACAGAAAAAGAUUCCUGACUAAGCAUGUUCAAUUGUCCAGCCAAUGGUGUUUUUAAACUUGAUGUGGUGAUAUAAUCUUGACCAGGAUACAGAAGGUAUCUUGUGGCCUCUGAAAGAGUAAAAAUGCUACAGAUCAUGUGAAACCACUCAUAGUACCAGCCCGGUACUCCUCCAGUGGCUCCUCUUGGAAUUCCACCUGAUUUUAUUAGCAGUCUUCAUCAAAUCCACUGAGGAAUGGGAUGAUUCUGCUUUUGCAGAAUCACUUGGUUCUGAAAGUCUCGUGAGAAGACCUGGUUAGACUCAGAGGCAAGAAGAUGCAUAUGGAGGCAGACAGAGGCAAAAGAUCUAGAGAAAAUUUCAAGACAGCUCCACAUUCAUGAUGUGGCAUGAGCAUUGCUGGCUUCUUUUAGCCAGACUUAUAGUGACAAUUGGGUCCAAAACGCAGAGCAGAUAAAUUUUAAAAACUUAAAUUUUGGACCAGAAGGACUAAUGUAUAAAGUUGGAGCCAGAUGAGGUAGGACUGCAGGAGAAAUUAGUGCCAUUAAAGAGGAACAACGUACUUUGUACAAAGAUAAGAAGAAGAUGCAAGACGGCAUUUCAGGAAUUGGCAAGACUGCACCCAUCAUAGGCUCUAAGGUGCAAACCUUUCAUCUGAGAAGAGAAUCUUUGGGCACCCUGCUUGAGAAGGGCAAGUUAGGGAAUUGGCUUUCCAGAAUUCUCUUCACCAUGCUCAACUAUCCUAAUACUCAGUGACCACUACAGCCAUGGCCCAGCAGGGCCUGGUUAUUACCCACACCAGUGGCAGACCUUGACAUUGUUCAUGUGAUGCUGGUUUUAUUGGCACGCAGAAUGGAUGAGUUCUGGGGUCGUGAAGACUUACACCCAGAUUUUGAAAGAAGACCUGAGAGGCCAAGCAGUGAUCUAGGAAGCUGUGAGUGAAGUUGAAGGUGCACUGGAAAUGUGGAGGUGCCAGGAAUGUGGAACAUCUGUUGAGGAAAACUGCAGAGAGUAAACCAUGCUGAGAGAGACAGAGAGAAAGAGAGACACUGGGACCAUGUGGGCUGCAACUAGUAAGACCAUAGGGGUGAGGCUGCCCAGGCGCUUUGAAGCUCACAUCUGUCCACAACCUUUUCCAGGUGCCAGUAUGGAGCUACACAGGCUUUCAUGUUUUCUUUUUUUGUUUUCAUCUUGCUGUGGUCCGAUUUCUUCUGUCCUCCUAGUCCUGCCUUUUGGAUUGGGAAUGUGUAGCCUGUGCCAUUGUCCUUGAAACUGUGUAACUUGUUUUUAAGUUUCACAGCCAAGUGUUUGCUUAGAGUUUCAGAGGAGGCUUUGGACUAUUUAUUUGAGACAAGGUCUUUUUAUGUAGUCCAGGCUGCCCUUGAAUUUGCUAUGCAGGGAUCCUUCUGUUUCAGGCUCCCAAGUGCUGGGAUUAAAGGUUAUGUCAUUGUGCCCAGCAGGACUUGGAACUGUUAAAACUUUGUUGGCUCUUAGAAAUGGACUAAAUGCAUUUACAUAGUAAGAUGGAUGUCAGCCUUUUGGUAACAGAAUGUUACAGUUUAGAUCUAAACUAUCUUCCAAAAGUCUUCUGUUUGGUGUUGGGGCUUUUGGAAGGUGGGUUGGUUAUAGGGGUGCUAUAUUCACUCAUGGAUUAAUCCAAAGAUUAGUUCAUAGUUCAUUAGUUCAUGCUGUUUGAGUUGGGGGCUGGGAAGAAGAGUGUGUCAAUGGAGGUGUGUCUUUGGAGGGUAGAUUGCCCUGUAUGGCCCCACAUUUCUCUCUCUGUUUCUUGGCUUCCAUGAAGUGAGGACAUUUCCUCCACCAGGGCCUUCCACCAUGAUGUUUCUGCCUUGGAGCCAGCUGACCACAGACUGAAUCCUCCAAAACUAUGAGCCAAAAUAAACCUCUCCUUCUUUAAACUGCAAGUUACAGGUCCCCACUCUGAGCUCUAGGCACCCUGAGGGAUUGCCCAUGGCACAAGAGAACCAUGAAAGGACAGGUAGGAAGUGAUUUCCCUACUCUCUGAGCUUUGAGUCAUCUUAGUUUAAUUAUAAAUAGAAUCAUAUAUUUUGUUUAUUGAACUUAGAGUCUUGGGGAAAACUGCUUGAACAAUUUUAAGAGUUUGGGUGUUAACUUUAUUUUUGUUUGUUUGGGUUUUCUGGUAAUGGAAAUUGAACUCAGGACUUUGCAUUUGCCAGGCUGGUGCUUCCAGGAAUUAGGAGGCUGAGGCAGAAGGCUUGCUACAAGUUCAAAGCCAGCCUGGACUACAUAGCAAGCCCUUGUCUCAGCAAACAAACAAAAAACAAAACCUCCCAAAACAAACAAACAGAUAUUCUUCAUUAAAUGAAUGAAUGAAUGAAAUGGUAUUUGGGGGCUCUGGAGGAAGCAGCUGCCUUUGGUAACUUCCCAGAAGAGAUGACAUUUCAUCUAAGGGUGAGCUGGGAAUGAAGCAGAUGGGAAAAGGCAGGAAGUUGCUGCAGACAGGGGAGCUGUGUUCAAAGGGUGCAGAGAGGGCCUUGCUUUCCAAGCCUGACAUGGUGGUCCCAGUGACCACUACUGGACAGAUCUGAUGGGGACGUCACAGGGAGAGCUAGGGUUGGCCCUGGGCUGUUGGGGAACCAUGGAGAGGGCUUGGAGCAGCGAAGAGUCAGGGCAGGAGGAGAAGCUGGAUGGAGAAAUGAAAGUGGGAAGGUUCUACAUGGGCACUGGAGACCUGGAUUCUAUUUCCUGUGAGACAGUCAGGGUCACCUUGGGACAGAAGUUGCCAGGGACAUUUUGGGAGGUUAGGGCUCUGCCCAUCAUUUCUGGCAGAGGAAGGUAGGCACAAGACUGCCGGGUAGCUGACAGAUCUGUAGCCUUCGAACAUGGGUGGUGGUGCCAGCUACAGCCCUGUUAUAGGGCAGCUUUUCUUCCAUCUUCUCGUGCCUGUCAUCACUGACCAUGGGUGUCCCCUGUUGUGUGGGGUGAUGUUCAUGGAGAACAGGGAGAUCUCCAAGGCAGGGCAAACUGGGAGGAGCUCUUGCCAUGCCUGCUCAGGGGCAGGAGUGGGUGCCGGGGCCAGGGUAGGCUGAACUGCUUCAGUCAGGUCUUCUGGGUUUGGUGCUGGGAAGUGAGGUUGGUUUUCCUCAUGGGGUGCUUGAGCCGCUCUGUGGUCUUGGCAAACACUGUGGUUCAUUCUGCCCUCCGAGUGCCACCAGCGGUAAAGUGGGUAGACCCAGGCAAGGAAGGCAAGCAAGGUGACCCCGCCAAGGCUGCUCUGUGGGUAGGGCUGCCUGACUUCCUGGCUCUGGGGACAGAGAAAAGGGUGUGGGGUUUCAGCUCCUUUGGGUGCAGCUGGGAAGCUGGGUAAAGGAUGCCUGGGGCAGUUGGGCACCAAGAUCCAGAAACCUGUAGGGUGCAAGAGCUAACCGAGGCCUCCAGAGUCGUAUGGGGGCCUCACCACACUGUAUUCCAGCCAAUGUAGUAGACAGCCGGCCAGAAGCAGAGAUGCAGAAGGCACACAGUGAGGAGGGCCAGGAGCCCGAGCAAUGUCACUUAUGUGAAGGCCCAGGGGUGUUACAGUAGGCCAGCUUCCUGGCUGAGCAGCUCCUGCUUGAACCUGGGCCAGAAUCAUCAGUCAGGGAGCUCUGGGGCCUGGGCCCUGGCAAGGAUGGGUCUCUGUCUUAUAGGCACCCCCUGGUGGGAACCCCUCAAUCAUGGGGUCAGCACCAUUCCCUCGUGCUGCCCCAUGUCACUCUGCCACUCCUCUGAGGAUCCCCUUCCUGCUCUGUUGCUCUUUGUCCCCUCCUCUCUAGCGCAGGCAAACUUUUCAAGACUACCUUUGACCUCCAAUCCAGCUUCCUCAUAGACUUCAGUGUAGCCACAUCUGCUUCUGCCUACUGCUUAUCUGCCUGAGAGGCUUUCUGGGAAGCCUCACCUUUACCAGUCAGCCCGGCAGCUACAUCCUCUCUUUGUCUGAUGACAACCUGGUCCCUCUGACCCUCAUCAUCAUUGUGACAUUCCAGAAUGGGGCUCUGGUCUGGAUCUAUGGAGCCAGAAGGUGAUGUAUAAGCCCCAGGACUUCCAAGGCAGGAAGCUGGCCUACUGUAACACCCCUGGGCCUCCCAGAGUGCUAGGAUUACAGAUGGGAUUGAAGAAAGCUCACAUCGCCACUAAGUUCCCAAAUUUCUACACCUCUAUCAGGCCCUGACUCCCAGGAUGUUGGUCAUUAUUUGUGUUGGAAUAGGUUGGAUGUGGCUUUAGAUACAAGAUUUAUCUCGUGAUCAACUCCAGCAGGACCCAUGAAGCUGAGCACCGGAAAACUCUGCCUCCCAGCUUGUCUCUGUGGCAGCCUCUGCCACCUCCUCAGCACAGCACUAGAAUGAUGCUAGGAGAACUGGCGGAUCAGUCUACCAUGUGCUGGAAGCCUCUCAGGAUUCUGAGACCUACAGGUGCCUACACUGCUGGACAAUUUCCUCUCUUUUGCACAAGGUCUGUGCAUCUAUGAAGGCUGCUCAUGCUCGCAUCACCCUUGUCAGGCCUGCACCCCAGAUACUCCUGACUCUUUCCUCAUUUGUGAUUGGCUGAUUAUUCUCUAGGAUUUGGCUUACUAAAGCUAUGUGUCCACUCCUCUUGAUUAACUUUAUAGGAAAGUACGAUUUUUAUUUUCUCAGUCAAAGAUUUUUUGCCCAUGCUGAGUGUGGUGGCACAUCCCUGUGAUUUCAGCACUCCAGAGGCCGAGGCAGGAAACUGCUGUGAAUUCCAGGCCAGCCUGAACUAUACAGCAAGACCCUGCCUCAAAAAACAAACAAAAUAAAAUAAAAUUCCCACCACUAUGGGAACAUUGGCUUUUGCAUCCUUUAGCUUCAAAAGAAUCCCAUUGUGGAGGAAAAUCCUGAUUCAAAAAUCUAGUGCCUGGAUACAUCCAAGACCAAAUAAGUCAGACUCUCUGGUGGUAGAUCUCAGACAUAAAUGGUUUUUAAGACUUCUCACAUGAUUCAAAUAUGUAGCCAAGGCCAAUAAUCACUGGUUUGUGACUUAAAUAAUCGAUUUUGAAAUCUUCCUUACUCAAUUUGCAAUUAGGAGCAGUCAAGUCUCUAAGGCUAUUUUUCUUGCCUAUGAAAUAGAAUACAUCACAGCAUUCCCUUCUAUUCUUAUCUCUGAGAAUAAAUGUGAAGUUAUUACUAUGA